rnacentral:tRNA from 1 species
GGGGUUGUGGCUCAGAGGUAGAGUGCUUACCUAGCACAUGUGAGAAUACUGGGUUUGAUCCUCAGCACCACA